rnacentral:rRNA from 1 species
GGCCAGCAGCCGCGGUAAUACAGAGGGUGCGAGCGUUGUUCGGAAUUAUUGGGCGUAAAGAGCGCGUAGGCGGUUUGCUAAGUCUGAUGUGAAAGCCCUCGGCUUAACCGAGGAAGUGCAUUGGAUACUGGCAGGCUUGAGUGUGAGAGAGGGUAGUGGAAUACCUGGUGUAGCGGUGAAAUGCGUAGAUAUCAGGUGGAACACCGGUGGCGAAGGCGGCUACCUGGAUCAUAACUGACGCUGAGGCGCGAAAGCAUGGGGAGCAAACAGGAUUAGAUACCCUGGUAGUCCAUGCCGUAAACGAUGGGUGCUAGGUGUUGCAGACUUCAACCUCUGCAGUGCCGCAGCUAACGCAUUAAGCACCCCGCCUGGGGAGUACGGUCGCAAGACUAAAACUCAAAGGAAUUGACGGGGGCCCGCACAAGAC